UUCCGGUUGAUCCUGCCGGAGGCCACUGCUAUGGGAUCCGACUAAGCCAUGCGAGUCGAGAGGGUUCGGCCCUCGGCAGACUGCUCAGUAACACGUGGAUAACCUAACCUUAGGUGGAAGAUAACCUCGGGAAACUGAGAAUAAUAUUCCAUAGAUCUAGGAUGCUGGAAUGCAUCUAGAUUGAAAGUUCCGACGCCUAAGGAUGGGUCUGCGGACUAUCAGGUUGUAGUCAGGAUAAAGACCUGACUAGCCUACGACGGAUAUGGGUUGUGAGAGCAAUAGCCCAGAGACGAUAUCUGAGACACGAUAUCGGGCCCUACGGGGCGCAGCAGGCGCGAAAUCUUCACAAUGUGCGAAAGCACGAUGAGGGGAUCCCAAGUGCUGGCACGUAAGUGUCAGCUGUUUCUUAGUCUAAAAAACUGAGAGAGUAAGGGCUGGGUAAGACGGGUGCCAGCCGCCGCGGUAAUACCUGCAGCUCAAGUGGUGGCCGCUAUUAUUGGGCCUAAAACGUCCGUAGCCUGUUUAGUAAAUGCUUGGGUAAAUUGUGUAGCUUAACUAUACGAAUACCGGGUAGACUGCUAAACUUGGGACCGGGAGAGGCUAGAGGUACUCCUGGGGUAGAGGUGAAAUUUUGUAAUCCUAGGGGGACCACCAGUGGCGAAGGCGUCUAGCUAGAACGGGUCUGACGGUGAGGGACGAAGCCCUGGGGCGCAAACCGGAUUAGAUACCCGGGUAGUCCAGGGUGUAAACGCUGCUUGCUUGAUGUUAGUUGGGCUCCGAGCCCAACUAGUGUCGGAGAGAAGUUGUUAAGCAAGCUGCCUGGGAAGUACGGUCGCAAGACUGAAACUUAAAGGAAUUGGCGGGGGAGCACAGCAACGGGUGGAGCGUGCGGUUUAAUUGGAUUCAACGCCGGG
rnacentral:rRNA from 1 species